rnacentral:misc_RNA from 1 species
CCUUUUAAUUCAGAACAUGAUGGAUUCUUUCUAGCGUUUGAUGUAAUAUGUAAUAGCAAUAUUACGCGGUCUGCAGCUAUCUAUCGACCAGCCAUGACAGCAUAUCCACCACCACCAGCUCAUCCAAUGGAGUACGCACAAGAUCAUCAUGUUUCACCACCACCACCACCUAUCGGUUAUCCCACCAAUGAUGGUGCAAGCUAUCCUCAACAUAACCCUUUAAGUGUAAAGACCAAAAGCAAAGGUGGUGAUGGCUUUUGGAAAGGAUAGUAACUAGGCACCACUCUCUCCCUCUCUCAAAGUAAAAACUAUUAGUA